GAUGAACGCUGGCGGCGUGCCUAAUACAUGCAAGUCGAACGGACAGACGAGGAGCUUGCUCCGCUGACGUUUGCGGAGGGCGUGUGUGACACACGUGUAUCACCUCCCUGUAAUACUGGUAUAACUUCGGAAAACCGGCGCUUAUACCGGAUAAGAUAUUGAUCCGCGUGGGUCAAUGGUGAAAGACGGUUUUGGGGUCUGUUCUAGCUGGAUCCGCGCCGCAUUGGCUAGUAGGUAAGGUAACGGGUUACCACGGCAACGAUGCGUAGCCGACCUGAGAGGGUGAUCGGCCACACUGGAACUGAGACACGGUCCAGACUCCUACGGGAGGCAGCAGUAUGGAAUCUUCCGCAGAGGGCGAAAGCCUGACGGAGCAACGCCGCGUGAGUGAUGAAGGUCUUCGGAUCGUAAAACUCUGUUAUGAGGUAAGAACAACUGUGUAAGGAACUAUGCACGUCGUGACGGUACCUAGUCAGAAAGCAACGGCUAACUACGUG
rnacentral:rRNA from 1 species